UACGUAGGGUGCAAGCGUUAAUCGGAAUUACUGGGCGUAAAGCGUGCGCAGGCGGUUAUGUAAGACAGAUGUGAAAUCCCCGGGCUCAACCUGGGAACUGCAUUUGUGACUGCAUAGCUAGAGUACGGUAGAGGGGGAUGGAAUUCCGCGUGUAGCAGUGAAAUGCGUAGAUAUGCGGAGGAACACCGAUGGCGAAGGCAAUCCCCUGGACCUGUACUGACGCUCAUGCACGAAAGCGUGGGAAGCAAACAGG
rnacentral:rRNA from 1 species